UACGGAGGGGGCUAGCGUUGUUCGGAAUUACUGGGCGUAAAGCGCGCGUAGGCGGACCUGCAAGUCGGGGGUGAAAGCCCGAGGCUCAACCUCGGAACUGCCUUCGAUACUGCGGGUCUCGAGUCCGGGAGAGGUGAGUGGAAUUCCUAGUGUAGAGGUGAAAUUCGUAGAUAUUAGGAAGAACACCAGUGGCGAAGGCGGCUCACUGGUCCAUUACUGACGCUGAGGUGCGAAAGCGUGGGGAGCAAACAGG
rnacentral:rRNA from 1 species